GGUGGCGAUUAUACUGGUGUUGUCCCACCUGAUCCCAUUUCGAACUCAGAAGUGAAAUACACCAAGGCCGAUGGUAGUCGAAAGGCGAGAGUAGGUAGUCGCCACCC
rnacentral:rRNA from 1 species